AUUGAACGCUGGCGGAAUGCCUUACACAUGCAAGUCGAACGGCAGCACGGACUUCGGUCUGGUGGCGAGUGGCGAACGGGUGAGUAAUACAUCGGAACGUGCCCAGUCGUGGGGGAUAACGUAGCGAAAGCUACGCUAAUACCGCAUACGAUCUAAGGAUGAAAGCGGGGGAUCGCAAGACCUAGCGCGAUUGGAGGAGCCGAUGGCAGAUUAGGUAGUUGGUGGGGUAAAGGCUCACCAAGCCGACGAUCUGUAGCUGGUCUGAGAGGACGACCAGCCACACUGGGACUGAGACACGGCCCAGACUCCUACGGGAGGCAGCAGUGGGGAAUUUUGGACAAUGGGCGCAAGCCUGAUCCAGCCAUUCCGCGUGCAGGAUGAAGGCCCUCGGGUUGUAAACUGCUUUUGUACGGAACGAAAAGGCUCUGGUUAAUACCUGGGGCUCAUGACGGUACCGUAAGAAUAAGCACCGGCUAACUACGUGCCAGCAGCCGCAGUAA
rnacentral:rRNA from 1 species